rnacentral:misc_RNA from 1 species
CGGACAGUCAGUGCAGAUGUUUUGCUGAGAAAGGUCCAGCUGCCCAACCCAAGCAUAUUGUUGCUCUACUUUUGGAAACGACACAGAGAGUUUGAGGGGAAGAAAUCAUACUCCCUAGUACAUGUAUCUACUCAAGAACUGCAGUCAUUCCAUGGUGGCCCUAUUUCUGAACCCCUCUUGAAGUUCAAGAUUCGGAUUCCUGAGAUCAAAAUACAUGAGGAUAGCGUGGGGAACCCUUCCAAAAAAAAUCUGGAUCUUCAUCUCAGAUUUUGAGAAAAUUCCAAGGCUAUAGGCUUACUGUUUUUUUCGGCAAAAAAGUGAAGCAUUUGCCAGAAUAAUUUCAGGACGCUUUUUCUAUGUAAAAAAGCGUAUCGAACGAGAAGCCGUCAAUGAAAUUGAGCUGGCAUUGAAUCCCAUCGAGAUAUCUUUGAUUUUACACUUUUUCGAUCGAUUAAUUGGCGAUAACUCGAUCAAUUUCAUAGAUGAAAUUAUUUUGCUUGCGGAUUCGGAUUCCUGAGAUCAAUACACAUAAGGAUAGCGUGUUG